AAUAUACUAAUUUCAACCAACAAAUUUGGUAAUUACUACUUUUUAAAAAUGAUAAUUGGCAACACCGAUUACAAGUAUUGAAUUUUAAAAUUGUAUAGGCCAUUACUCUAGUAUUUCGUAUUGAGUGUCGAGCUGUGUUGAGGUAGGUAUUGUGUGUCGGUACGUUAAAAUAGUCGGAUAUAAAGUAUCCCAGUAAUCAGUAAAAGGUGUCGACGGUCUUAAUUGAUUCAAGGAACUGCUUAGAAAGCGGCUUAUUGAGUGCGGCUGGAGAGACCAAGUCAGGGCUAUGUGUCGCAAAUUCGUCAAAGAGAACAAUGGGCCCAACAAUGUCACCUUUGACAUGUUGGUCAACCAGGUGACCCCGCGUGCCCGCGCUCUUGUGCCCGACUCGAUCAAGAGGGAGCUGAUCAACAAGAUAAGGGAAAACCUUCACAGGCAACGCAAUCAGUAAGGUGUUCCUUAUAGGGACAUG